rnacentral:rRNA from 1 species
CUCCGGUUGAUCCUGCCGGACCCGACUGCUAUCAGAGUGGGACUAAGCCAUGCGAGUCGACGUAGCAAUGCGUGGCGAACGGCUCAGUAACACGUAGUCAACAUGCCCAGGGGACGUGGAUAACCUCGGGAAACUGAGAAUAAACCACGAUAGGUCACGAUUUCUGGAAUGGAUCAUGGCCUAAAUCUACAUGGCCCCUGGAUUGGACUGCGGCCGAUCAGGCUGUUGGUGAGGUAAUGGCCCACCAAACCUGUAACCGGUACGGGCUCUGAGAGGAGAAGCCCGGAGAUGGGCACUGAGACAAGGGCCCAGGCCCUAUGGGGCGCAGCAGGCGCGAAACCUCUGCAAUAGGCGAAAGCCUGACAGGGUUACUCUGAGUGAUUUCCGCUAAGGGGAUCUUUUGGCACCUCUAAAAAUGGUGCAGAAUAAGGGGUGGGCAAGUCUGGUGUCAGCCGCCGCGGUAAUACCAGCACCCCGAGUGGUCGGGACGAUUAUUGGGCCUAAAGCAUCCGUAGCCGGUUCUACAAGUCUUCCGUUAAAUCCAGCCGCUCAACGGAUGGGCCGCGGAGGAUACUACAGGACUAGGAGGCGGGAGAGGCAAGCGGUACUCAGUGGGUAGGGGUAAAAUCCUUUGAUCCAUUGAAGACCACCAGUGGCGAAGGCGGCUUGCCAGAACGCGCUCGACGGUGAGGGAUGAAAGCUGGGGGAGCAAACCGGAUUAGAUACCCGGGUAGUCCCAGCUGUAAACGAUGCAGACUCGGUGAUGGGCUAGCCUUGUGCCAGCCCAGUGCCGCAGGGAAGCCGUUAAGUCUGCCGCCUGGGGAGUACGGUCGCAAGACUGAAACUUAAAGGAAUUGGCGGGGAGCA